rnacentral:tRNA from 1 species
AUGGGUAUGGCCGAGUGGUCUAAGGCGAUGGUCUUAAGUUACGUAACUCAUCACCAUUAUCGAGAGAUAUCGAGGGUUCGAAUCCCUCUGCCCAUA